rnacentral:rRNA from 1 species
AGUCGAGCGAGCUUGCCUAGAUGAAUUUGGUGCUUGCACCAGAUGAAACUAGAUACAAGCGAGCGGCGGACGGGUGAGUAACACGUGGGUAACCUGCCCAAGAGACUGGGAUAACACCUGGAAACAGAUGCUAAUACCGGAUAACAACACUAGACGCAUGUCUAGAGUUUAAAAGAUGGUUCUGCUAUCACUCUUGGAUGGACCUGCGGUGCAUUAGCUAGUUGGUAAGGUAACGGCUUACCAAGGCAAUGAUGCAUAGCCGAGUUGAGAGACUGAUCGGCCACAUUGGGACUGAGACACGGCCCAAACUCCUACGGGAGGCAGCAGUAGGGAAUCUUCCACAAUGGACGCAAGUCUGAUGGAGCAACGCCGCGUGAGUGAAGAAGGGUUUCGGCUCGUAAAGCUCUGUUGGUAGUGAAGAAAGAUAGAGGUAGUAACUGGCCUUUAUUUGACGGUAAUUACUUAGAAAGUCACGGCUAACUACGUGCCAGCAGCCGCGGUAAUACGUAGGUGGCAAGCGUUGUCCGGAUUUAUUGGGCGUAAAGCGAGUGCAGGCGGUUCAAUAAGUCUGAUGUGAAAGCCUUCGGCUCAACCGGAGAACUGCAUCAGAAACUGUUGAACUUGAGUGCAGAAGAGGAGAGUGGAACUCCAUGUGUAGCGGUGGAAUGCGUAGAUAUAUGGAAGAACACCAGUGGCGAAGGCGGCUCUCUGGUCUGCAACUGACGCUGAGGCUCGAAAGCAUGGGUAGCGAACAGGAUUAGAUACCCUGGUAGUCCAUGCCGUANACGAUGAGUGCUAAGUGUUGGGAGGUUUCCGCCUCUCAGUGCUGCAGCUAACGCAUUAAGCACUCCGCC